UCACAUAAGCACCUCUCCUCUUUCUUCCUCCAAAACGCAAAAGUCAAUACCAAGAACUCUAAUUUCUUCAUCCAACUACACCACCCAUCACCAUUGACAGUCCCUCCUUCCAUAUUCAAAGAUUGCAGACCUCGAGCUUGAUUUGUUGACUUUGGAUUAGAUAAAAAUCUCAACCAAAUCUAAUCCGAAUCGGAGGAUAUCACAUCGAAUCCGAAUUUUCGGAGGUAGGUUCUCAUCUUGCUUGUUUUUUCUUCCAUUCUCUCCAAUCAAUCUCUCAUCUCCCGCUCAAACGACUAUUUGAAUUCAAGCCUUUAUUUUUGCUAUAAAUACAUGGUAUUGGUGUCAUUUAGAGGAGACACACGGAGACAAAAAAAUAGGGGACAAACAGAGGAUUGAAAUUUGAAGGUUGGAGAAUAGUAUUCCCUGAAAUUGAACCCACGAAGGUUUGAGCCUCGAAUUUUCAAUUUUCUUUCAAGUUCUUUGGAUCAUCUGUUGGUGGCGGUCAGUGGUAGUAGGAAGCUCUUCAACUCGUUUGUCUCAGUCGCUGCCCUAAAAAAGGUAAAACCUGUUUCUCUUCUUACUGUUCUGUUAACUUCAGGUGCACCUGGGUUAUUGUGUUUGAAGUUAUGUGUGGUAUUAUAAGUUUUCUCAUCGAGCUCUGUAAUUGUUUCUCUCAUGUUGUGAUUAUAGGAUGAGUGUGUGUUGCCGUUUAUUUCUUGUUUUCACAUAUGAGUUUGCAAUUCUCUUUCCAGAAUGUGUUAUGUUUCUUUCAUAUUGUUAGCUUUCCCUUGCUGUUUAAGAACCGGGAAAGGUUGAUUAUUUCUUUUUAGGAAUUGUUGUUUGAUUGUUGUAUUAGGAUUUGGUAUCAUGGAUUUAUAUAAAUGUUAGCCUAAUCUCGUGUUAUGGAUAGAUUUAGUUGAGUUCUUGUUCCAACUGCUUAGAAUGCAUUCAGUUUCAAUAAUAAAUAAGUUUCGGUUCGGUUUGUGUCGAAGAUGAUUUUCUGACUAGAACUGUUACUAUUCUUAUUUUCUGGCCUGCAUAACGGCAUUUUGUUGAAGUUUGAAACUGCUACACCUGUAUUAGUUAAGUCGUAGUCACUAUGCAUAUGCAUUAAUAACCAGUAUUCGAUGCCAUGUUUUUUCGCUCUUUCACUCUAAAUAUGGGAAUCAUGAUACACAUAGCUAUUUAAACUAAUUUUGUGUCUUUGCUAUUCUUUGUACCAAAACUAUUUCACUUGAAUGCUGCUAAACCCGCUUACUGCUGUUCAUAUGAUAUUAUCACUUAUAAUUUAUCCACUCUUAUUGCUAAUGAAUAAUCUUUGCCAUUGUGCAUACUGUACUCGUCAAAUGUUUGUCAUGUGCAUAUAAAGUUGUCUUGUUUGUUCAUUCCAUAAAGUAGUAUUGCUAAUGAAUAAUUUUUUCCAGUGUGCAUACUUUACUUAUCAAAUGCUUGCCAUGUGCAUAAAGUUGUCUUGUUUGAUAAUUCCAUAAAGUAGGACUUACUUUAGUGGUCCAUGUUUAUUUUCCUUUUACAUUUGUUGAAGUGAUUUUUUUUCCCUUCAAUUAAAAGAUGAAAUAAAAUUGGUGACCUAUUUAAUAUUAAUUACGUGAAUUACUACUUAGUUUCUUUGCUUGUGAUUUGAAUAUUAUGCUAAGUUUUUAUUUUUUUUAUUUUUAUUUUUGUAUCUUGUCCAACUCUAAUUCCUCUUCUUUUACUUUUGUUUGAUUUAUGGUAUGUUGGCGGAGUCCAAGUUGGACCCAAUUCCUAUUUCUUGCAUUCUCCGUCUUAUCAAGUCAACCGCAUAAUCGGAACCACGUGGAGUUCGGGAAGAGAAUGCAUGUCGUAAGGGAAGCUGAAACAGGUGUCGGAUUACAGAAAAAUGGGUUGUAUACAUCCGAUAUACACUGAUAUACAUCAGACGUAUGCGAAAAGGGAAUUGAGCCAAGAGCCCAAAUCAACAACGAGUUUGGCCCAAAAAGGGCCCAAAUUCAUCUUCUCCUUUAUUCUCCUAGAUUAUUUAAUUGUGAUUACUUAUUGUUAGUUUUUUUUUAUUAACUCUAACUUUAAAUAACUUAAUUGAACUCCCCAAAGGAUGAACUAUUUUCUUUGUGUUGGUUUACUUUAAUAAAUUUUAUUUUAUUCAACUCUUGCACCCUUAUUUACUUAUUCAAAUGGUUUCAAUUCAAAACUUUCACUUAGUUUAAAUUGAUUUCUUGGUUUAUCGACUAAAUUAGUUCAAAUUAUUAUGAGUCAAAUAGAUUUUAAUUAAUCUAGUUUGUUAAAAUUUUUAUCACUUGCAUUUAAUUCAAAUGUUUCAUUUAGGNNNNNNNNNNNNNNNNNNNNNNNNNNNNNNNNNNNNNNNNNNNNNNNNNNNNNNNNNNNNNNNNNNNNNNNNNNNNNNNNNNNNNNNNNNNNNNNNNNNNCAAAUUACCAAACUCAACCAUACCCAAAAUUCCAAACGCCAACACUUCCCCGCCAAAAUCCUUUAAAUUACCGUCAAGUACCUCCACCUCCACAAAAUAACUAUGACCUUCCUCGUCCAAACUUUGAAAGGAAACCUCCCAGAAUUUUCACUCCUCUCAUUGAAAGCUGAACUAAGUUGUUCGAAAGAUUGAAAGUUGCAGGCAUGCUUCAUCCCAUCGAACCUAAACCUGUCAACACAAACUCCAAAUUCUUUAGAGUUGAUCAGAUAUGUGCAUAUCACUCCAAUAGUGUAGGACAUACCACCGAAGAUUGCAUCAACCUGAAGCAUAAGAUUCAAGACUUAAUUGAUCACAAGGUGGUCACCCUUCAGACUGCCUCUCCUAAUGUGCAUAGUAAUCCUCUACCAAAUCAUGGGGGAGAUACUAUUAAUAUGAUUGAAAUAGAAAAUGAUUGGGGUGCUGCUAAGACGAUAGUCCCAUCGAAUCUUGACAGUCUUGAGAAGGCUGUAGCCUCUCUAAGCAUAAGCAAGAAGCCCGAGUUCAUGAUAAAAACACUCCAUCAAGCUUUUGUUUUAGGGCCAAAGAAGGGCCUUACUUCAUCAAGCUUUUACUGCCCAUCUAAAAACUUUUGUUUUGAGAAAGAGUUUGUGAUAAUGGCACCUCAUCAAGCUUUUACUUCAGUGCCAAAGAAAGGCCUUACCAAGAAAGAGUUUGUGAUCGAGACCGCUACUGCCCAUGGUAUGACUAGAUCUGGUAGAUGUUAUACACCAGAAGAAUUGACUCAAGGAUGCCACAAGAGAGACCACCAGAAAAGACAAUCAGUGAAGCUGAAGCCAGGGAGUUUUGGCGGAGAAUGCAGCCUAAAAAGUAUUCCAUCAUGAAACAUUUGGAGAAGACACCUGCUCAAAUUUCUGAGUGGGCAUUAUUGAUGAGUUCACAGCAACACAGACAUGCUUUGUUAAAGGCUUUGAAUGAGACUCACGACCGGUGGGGACAAACAGCGAUAAUCUCACAGCCAUGGUAAGUAAAUUCAUCGGGGGCCAUCGUGUUAGUUUUAGCGAUGAAGAGUUGCCUUGUGAAGGGGUGAUGCAUAACAAAACCUUGCACAUCACAAUCAAGUGUCGGGACAAGAUUGUGAAUCCUAUUCUGAUAGAUGACGGAUUUGGACUUAAUAUUUACCCAUUGUCGACUCUCAAGCAACUGAAUUUUGAUCUUGGGAAGAUUAGUCAGAACCAAGUCAAUGUGAGAGCUUUCAACGGGGGUCAAAGAGAAACAUUGGGCGCUGUUAGUCUGGGUAUUGAAGUAGGACCUACAGGUUUCAUUGUAGAGUUUCAGGUGAUGGACAUCACCACUAGCUACAACCUUUUACUCGGAAGACCUUGGAUCCAUAUGGCUGGGGCCGUGCCCUCUACCCUCCAUCAGUUAAUGAAGUUUGUGUGGAACGAUCACGAAGUAGUCAUUCAUGGUGAAGGAAGACAUUCGAAUGACUAUGCCCCAAUUGUCGACAAUGUGGCUAGAGGUUCUGACUUCUAUACAGUAGAGAUAGUGAAUGCUACCAAUGAUAAUUUGGCCUCACAUCCCCCUAUGCCUUCCAUUUACAAGAUGAUAGGCACUUUGAUGUUAAGAAGUGAAUUUGAACCUGGUUUUGGAUUGGGAAAAUAUUUGCAAGGUAUCACUGAGCCUAUUCAAAUUUUCACAAAAAGUUCAAAGUUUGGCUUGGGAUACAUCCCAAUAGCAGAUGAUGAGGCGGGAGCUUCGAGUAACAAGGUGGUUGAUUGGGAAUUAGCAAAACCGGUACCUCAUUUAUACCAGUCUUUUCCAGUGCGAGAAUAUGUCAAUAAUGAUGGUCUCAGAGAGGGAAUCAGGAAUCUUUUUGAAGAAUCUGAUGAUGUGCUUGAGGAGAUGAUCGAGACAUCUGGCAUUCGAGAUGCCAAACCAGAAGAGCAAGUGCCUAACUGGACAUCCACACAACUCCUGGUUCCUCACUUGUCUUGGUAGACAAAGAUAUAUCUAUUUUACUUAUUUAUAAAAUUGGUGGUAGUCUGAAUGAGGCCUAAGACCCGCCCUUUAUGUCGUUUUACCUCUUUAAGCUUUAAUUUCCCUCGUGAUGUUUAAAAAGGCAAAUUGGCCUAUGUUCAUGGCCAAAGUUUGUACUUUCUUUUAAUCUAAAUGAAAGCCUUCUCUAUUGCUUAAAUCUAUUUAUUCACAACUUACUAAUUUAUUUAUCUGACAUGGCUUAUUUAUGAUUUCAGUAAAAAUAACUUAAAACCUGUCAAUAUCAUGUCAUGUCAUAAGCUGAGUGAGCAAAAUGAGACAGAUGAGAAUGAGUUUGAGGAAUAUGAUGAAGAGACCAUGGUUCCAGAACACCUCGCAGAAGAAUUGAAACAGUUUGAGAAUCAAGAGAAGCCAAAUUUAGAGGAGACUGAGACCGUGAACCUGGGAGAUGAAGAAAGUGUUAAAGAAACCAGGAUCAGUGUCCAUCUCACAGAAACUCAGAAAGAAGAGCUCAUCAGUUUGCUUAAACAGUACAUCAAUGUAUUUGCUUGGUCUUAUGAUGAUAUGCCUGGAUUGAGCACAAAUAUUGUUUCUCACACGUUGCCGAUCAAUCCAGAUUUCAGUCCGGUAAAGCAGAAAAGUCGAAAGUUCAAGCCAGAUUUGAGUUUGAGAAUCAAAGAAGAAGUUACCAAACAAAUUCAAGCCAAGGUUGUGGAGGUUACUAAGUAUCCAACUUGGUUAGCCAAUAUUGUUCCAGUGCCUAAGAAAGAUGGUAAAAUUAGAAUAUGUGUUGAUUAUAGAAAUCUCAAUAAAGCCAGUCCCAAAGACAAUUUUCCAUUGUCGAAUAUCCACAUUCUCAUUGAAAAUUGUGCUAAGCAUGAAAUGCAAUCAUUUGUGGAUUGCUUUGCGGGUUAUCAUCAGAUUUUGAUGGAUGAAAAAGAUGCUGAAAAGACGACUUUCAUUACACCAUGGGGUGUUUAUCAUUAUCGGGUAAUUCCAUUUGGUCUUAAGAAUGCCGGGGCCACAUACAUGAGAGCCAUGACAGCUAUCUUCCAUGAUAUGAUCCAUAAGGAGAUUGAAGUAUACGUGGAUGACGUAAUCAUCAAGUCCCGCAAGAGUUCAGAUCACUUGACCCAUUUGAGAAAGUUCUUUGAUCGAUUGCGUCAAUACAACUUGAAGCUGAAUCCCGCUAAAUGUGCUUUUGGAGUACCCACUAGUAAAGUAUUGGGUUUCAUAGUUAGUAGAAGAGGCAUUGAGUUUGAUCCUACCAAAGUCAAGGCGAUUCAGGAUUUACCACCUCCGAAGUCUAAGAAAGAAGUUAUGAGUUUCCUUGGAAGAUUGAACUACAUAAGUCGAUUCAUAGCUCAAUCCACGGUAGUUUGCGAGCCCAUCUUUAAGUUGUUGAAAAAAGAUGCACUAACGGUGUGGACCGAAGAGUGUCAAAAAGAUUUCGAUACUAUCAAAGAUUAUUUGAGAAAUCCACCAGUAUUGGUACGUCCGCGAGAAGGAAGUCCAUUGUUACUAUACUUGUCCGUCUCAGAAAAUGCAUUCGGGUGUGUAUUAGGACAACAUGAUGAAACUGGAAAGAAAGAACGCGCGAUCUACUAUCUUAGCAAGAAGUUUACUCCAUAUGAGGCUCGGUAGACUCUAUUGGAAAGAACAUGCUGUGCUUUGACUUGGAUCUCCCAAAAGCUGAGGCAUUAUUUGUCUUCAUAUACUACAUAUCUUAUUUCCAAGAUGGAUCCAUUGAAGUAUAUUUUCCAGAAAGCUAUGCCGACUGGAAAACUGGCGAAAUGGCAAAUGCUUCUGAGCGAGUUUGACAUUGUGUAUGUUACUCAAAAAGCGGUAAAAGGACAAGCAUUGGCCGAUCAUCUUGCAGAAAAUCCAAUCGACGAAGAAUAUGAACCGCUCAAAACAUACUUUCCUGACGAAGAUGUGUUGUUCAUAGGAGAAACCAUUUCUGAGUCAUACCCUGGUUGGAUGGUAUUCUUUGAUGGAGCGGUGAACUGUAAUGGAGCUGGAAUUGGAGCGGUUCUAAUAUCGAAAUCCGGUCAACAUUACCCCGUGGCGGCUAAACUUCGAUUUCAUUGCACCAAUAAUAUGGCAAAAUACGAGGCUUGCGUUCUUGGCAUAAUGUUAGCCAUCGACAUAAAUGUCCAAGAGUUGCUGGUAAUUGGAGAUUCAGACUUGUUAAUUCACCAGGUUCAAGGGGAAUGGACCGUGAAGAAUCCAAAGAUUGUUCCAUAUGUACAAUUGGUGCAAAGAUUGUGCAAAAGAUUUCGAAAGAUAGAGUUUAUGCACACUCCAAGGUUGCAAAAUGAAUUUGCUGAAGCUCUUGCCACUAUCUCCUCUAUGAUCAAGAAUCCAGAUCAGAAUUACAUCGACCCUUUGGAGAUAGAUUUAAAGGAACAACCCGCUCAUUGUUCGCAUGUCGAAGCGGAACCAGACAGAAAGCCUUGAUAUUAUGAUAUAAAGAAGUACCUGGAGACUGGAAUUUAUCCAGAAGAUGCGACAUCCAAUCAAAAGAAGGCAAUACGUCGAUUGGCUAACAAUUUAUUUCCAAGUGGGGAAAUCCUUUAUAGGAGGACUCUAUAUUUGGGACUCCUCAGGUGCGUAGAUUCCAUGGAAGCUACAAGACUUCUUGAUGAGGUACAUGCUGGAGUCUGUUGACCUCAUAUGAACGGGCUUACUUUGGCAAAAAAGAUCAUUCGAGCUAGUUAUUUUUGGAUGACUAUGGAGCAUUAUUGUUGUAGAUUUGUGCAAAAGUGUCAUAAAUGCCAAGUACAUGGUGAUUUGAUCCGAGUACCCCUUCAUGAACUUAAUGUUAUGGGAUCGCCUUGGCCAUUCGUGGCCUGGGGCAUGGAUGUUAUUGGCCCAAUUGAGCCAGCCGCCUCUAAUGGACAUAGAUUUAUUUUUGUUUCCAUUGAUUACUUCACCAAGUGGGUGGAAGCAAACUCUUAUAAAUCUGUGACGAAGAAGGUAGUAGCUGAUUUCAUUCGUAACAACUUGAUAUGUCGAUUUGGACUACCUGAUUCCAUUAUUACAGACAAUGGUGCAAACCUCAAUAGUUAUUUGAUGAAGGAGAUAUGUGAGCAAUUCAAGAUUACUCACCGAAAUUCGACUGCUUAUCGUCCUCAAAUGAAUGGAGCCGUAGAAGCUGCCAAUAAGAACAUCAAAAAGAUUUUGAGAAAGAUUAUUGAUAAUCACAGAGGUUGGCAUGAGAUGUUACCAUAUGCUUUGUUGGGAUACCGAACAACCGUUAGAACAUCAAUCGGAGCAACUCCAUACUUGCUAGUAUAUGGGACAGAAGCAGUGAUACCUGCUAAAGUUGAAAUACCUUCAUUGAGGAUCAUUCAAGAAGUUGAACUGAGCAAUGCUGAUUGGGUUCGUAAUAGGAUUGAACACUUAGCCUUAAUUGAUGAAAAAAGGAUGACCGCUGUUUGUCAUGGCCAAUUAUAUCAAUAGAGAAUGAUUCGUGCUUUCAACAAAAAAGUCAGAUCUCGCACAUUUGAAGAAGGACAAUUGGUCCUCAAACGGAUCUUCCCCCAUCAAGAUGAGUAUAAGGGAAAAUUUGCACCAAAUUGGCAAGGACCGUACAUGGUUCGUAAAGUGUUAUCUAGAGGUACUUUGAUCCUGUCAGGGAUGGAUGGCCAAGAGUGGCCAAAACCAAUCAACUCAGAUGCUGUCAAGAGAUACUACGUCUAAAAAUUAGGUCUAAAAAUUUGACCUGAUUCCUGCCUCAACGGGAUACGUAGGCGCCACAACGGAUCGGUCAUACACCCCAUAGAAUUUCCAUUUCUCUUUAUAAUGGAAACUGGGGCAGAAAUUUGAGAGGAGCUCAAAAAUUCUAAAGAUCAUUCGUCAGCAAGACAGGAUUGAACAUGCAUUAGGAAAAGGCAACUAAGGCGUAAUUUUUUAGAAGAUCUCCAAAAAUUCUACAAGUCUUCCUACCAAAGAUUUGAGAAAUGACAAGACAUUUCACUGGGGCAGAAUUUUUGAGAAGAUCUCAAAAAUUCCGCAAGUCUUCCUACCAAAGACUUGAGAGAUGCCAAGAAAUUUCACUGGGGCAGAAUUUUUGAGAAGAUCUCAAAAAUUUUGUCAAGUACUGUCAGAAGUUCAAAGUUAACGACAAAUAAUCUCUAGCAUGAUCAGAGGCUCAUGAACCCAAAUAUCUCAGAAAUUCAAAGUCAAACUUCAAUUAUCUUCUGAUUUCCCCAGCUUAAAAGGACUUUUAGAUUGGAUAUAUCGAAACUUGAACUGAAGUGUUCACUUAAGCUUUAAUGUGACAUGACACUUGGCAGUGACCCUCAUCAAAUUACUUUUCAAAAAACCAUUUUUUUCUUAAAACUUUAUACAUCUAUCAAAUAUUUUAUAUAAAAUAUAGAUCUACUUUAUGUCUACCAAGAAGCGGGAAGCUAGAAGCAAUCAACCAAUGAUAGCAAGAGGAAGAUCAAGCAAUCAAAGAAGUCAACACAUAUUAGUUCACUUAAAACUAAUAAAUUUUCUGUGGAUGCAGGUUUACAAGGAUAUCAAGAUAAUCAUGUUCAACAAAUAUGGGAAAGUCAGAACAGCAAAAGCGCCCAAGACUAACAUUUCUUUAUGCAGGAAAAGGCAUUGAUAUUCAUCCGAUAAAAGUAGUUAACUUAGUAUUUUGAACAACAAUUUCUUGUAUAUAUUUUCAAAAAAAAUAGUAGCCACAACGAAGAUACAAGUGGUCAAAGAAAAAGUAGGUGAAAGCAUCGAGAGGGUGGCACUUUAAGAUUUAUAAAUGACUAUAAUAACGGCAUAUUGCAUUUUCCAGCGUCAAAGACGUCUGAAGGGCACACGUAAGACACAUCAAAUAUCGAAAAGAAUUUGAAGUGCAACUUGCCAAAAAUAUUCAUUAUCACGUUAAAGUCUAAAGAGGCUAACGUUGAAGGAUAUUUGUAAGUCACAUCGAUACUAGAUACAGCGAUGUGCAUUGUCGAGAGGGACAUCAAUAUUAUAUUACUAAAGGUAGUACUAUCAUUGCCAAAAGGGCCAUCCAUAUUAUAUUAUCGGAGGUGAUAAUAUCAACGCCAAGAGGGCCAUUACAUAAUCAAAUGCUAAGAGGGCCAUUGCAUUUUCCAUUGCCAAGAGGGCCAUUACAUCUUCAAACACCAAGAGGGCCAUUACAUAAUCAAACGCUAAGAGGGCCAUUGCAUCUUCCAUUGCCAAGAGGGCCAUUGCAUCUUCAAACGCCAGGAGAGCCAUCGUGCAUUCAAAAUGCCAAGAGGGUCAUUACAUAUUCAAAUGCCAAGAGGGCCACUGCAUCUUCCAUUGCCAAGAGGGCCAAUACAUCUUCAAACGCCAGGAGAGCCAUCGUGCAUUCAAAAUGCCAAGAGGGACAUUGCAUCUUCAAACGCCAAGAGGACUAUUACAUAAUCAAAUGCAAAAAAUGCCAUGUCAUCUUCCAAUGCCAAGAGGGCUAUUACAUAUUCAAACCACUGAGAGAGUCAUCCGUAUUAUAUUAUCAAAUGUGAUAAUAUCAUUGCUGAAUAGAUCAACAUCAUCCUACCGAUAGACCAUCAUCGUUUUACCAAUCAAGCUUCGACAACAUUGGAUCAAUAUCAUCCUGCCAAUGGAUCGUCAAUGUAGCAACAUCUUCUUAUCAAUGGAGCGUGCACAUCUUCAUCAUAAAUGUAGCAGCAUCAUCCUAUCAAUAAAAGCAUCCAAGAGGAUGAAUUCUCGAAUCGAACCACAGGUGCGGACGAUAUCAAAAAGGAUGCAGCACAACGUGGAACUUUUUCUUAGCAGCGAGCUGGGACAUAGACCGAAGAGGAGUAUCAAACUCUUAGGACGCGAGCUGAGGAGCGACUUCCAGCACAAUCAAGCCACACCCCUAUCAAAAGGCAUGUGGGCAUUUCCUUGGGUUUAUCAGUUCCAAUUUCGCAUCCGGAAAACUUUACACUCUCACCGGAGUCAGCUUUCCAAUAUGAGUGACAAUGCACCAAGAGCUUUGAAAAUUAUGUUCGUGUAAGUUCUUAAUUAUGGGUGUGAAGCGCGCCACAUUCAUGGUUAAGAGGUCGCAAGCCUCUUUUUCAUGCUCGACUUACUUGUCACUCUUCUAGAACCAAAGGUUAUUUAGCAUAAUAGAUUUCCUUUUCAACCGAUCGAGUCGAACUACAAAUAGCCUGAUUCCUUGAGUUGAAGGAUAUGUAGGCGGGCUCAAUGUUGAAAACUCAGUUGCAUUCCGACAUUCUCUCUUAAAUCUUAUUCUCAAGGAUUUCGGUCUCUUCAUAAUUAGAUAUCGGGAUAGCUUUUGAAUUCUUUUAUAAUCGUGCAUCAAAUCAAGCGUAUCAAACUACAAGUGACCUGAAUUCUCAUAUAGCCUGAGAUAUGUAGGAAACUCAAUGUUAGGGUCCGGCAAUAAUUCCUCAAAAAAUCCAUAUCGAGUCUUGCUUUUAAAGAGAUGACAGGGGGUUUAGUCAAAAUUUGAUUCGUCAAUCUUCUUUGUCCAAGUUCUCUUUCAUCGACCCUACGCAAAGAAUGGGGCAGUUGUUGACACCCAAUUUUUACCCUAUGCAAUUCGAGUUAACUAUCGAGCUUCUUCAAUUUCAAACAAUUUGAAAUAAUCGCCUUUGAAAAAUCUUUAAAAAAUAUAUAUUUUAAAAUCUCUUUCUGUUUAGUUUUGGUUAGUAUUUUUCAGAAAUAAUUAUAUAAUUUUACAUGUUGGUUUAUGUUAUUUUGGUCUUUUAUAUAAAUAUUUAAUAAAUAGCCUAAAAAAUAAUGUUUAUCAUAAUUACGCAUUAGUUAAUUUUAUAAUUUUGUAUAAUUAGUUCUCUAUUUUAAAGCAAUAAAUAAGUUUUGAUAAUUAUUUUAUCUUGUUUAAAUUACGAAGCUCAAAUAAUUAAUCGAUAAUUAUUCAUCUUAUUUUAAUUUUGUCCAAUUUUGUUAAUUGACUCAAAUUGAUUAGACCUAACUCAAAUUGGUUAAAUUAGAAACUAAAUGUCCAAUUUUUAAAUAAAAUGGACCAUCAUUUUGAUUUAUAUACUCUCCCACACUCUCUCUCUUUUCCCUUUUUCCAGGCCUCACAUAAGCUCCUCUCCCCUUUCUUCUUCCUCCAAAACGCAAAAGUCAAUAUCAAGAACUCUAAUUUCUUCAUCCAACUACACCACCCAUCACCAUUGACAGUCCCUCCUUCCAUAUUCAAAGAUUGUAGACCUCGAGCUUGAUUUGAUGACUUUGGAUUAGAUAAAAAUCUCAACCAAAUCUAAUCCGAAUCGGAGGAUAUCACAUCGAAUCCAAAUUUUCGGGGGUAAGUUCUCAUCUUGCUUGUUUUUUCUUCCAUUCUCUCCAAUCAAUCUCUCAUCUCCCGCUCAAAUGACUAUUUGAAUUCAAGCCUUUAUUUUUGCUAUAAAUACAUGGUAUUGGUGUCAUUUAGAGGAGACACACGGAGACAAAAAAAAAUGGGGACAAACAGAGGAUUGAAAUUUGAAGGUUGGAGAAUAGUAUUCCUUGAAAUCGAACCCACGAAGGUUUGAGCCUCGGAUUUUCAAUUUUCUUUCAAGUUCUUUGGAUCAUCUGUUGGUGGAGGUCAGUGAUAGUAGGAAGCUCUUCAACUCGUUUGUCUCAGUCGCUGCCCUCAAAAAGGUAAAACCUGUCUCUCUUCUUACUGUUCUGUUAACUUCAGGUGCACUUGGGUUAUUGUGUUUGAAGUUAUGUGUGGUAUUAUAAGUUUUCUCAUCGAGCUCUGUAAUUGUUUCUCUCAUGUUGUGAUUAUAGGAUGAGUGUGUGUUGCCGCUUAUUUCUUGUUUUCACAUAUGAGUUUGCAAUUCUCUUUCCAAAAUGUGUUAUGUUUCUUUCAUAUUGUUAACUUUCCCUUGCUGUUUAAGAACCUAGAAAGGUUGAUUUAUUUUUUUUAGGAAUUGUUGUUUGAUUGUUGUAUUAGGAUUUGGUAUCAUGGAUUUAUAUAAAUGUUAGCCUAAUCUCGUGUUAUGGAUAGAUUUAGUUGAGUUCUUGUUCCAACUGGUUAGAAUGCAUUCAAUUUCAAUAAUAAAUAAGUUUCGGUUCGGUUUGUGUAGAAGAUGAUUUUCUGACUAGAACUGUUACUAUUCUUACUUUUUGGCCCGCAUAACGGCAUUUUGUUGAAGUUUGAAACUGCUACACUUGUAUUAGUUAAGUCGUAGUCACUAUGCAUACGCAUUAAUAACCAGUAUUCGACGCCAUAUUUUUUCGCUCUUUCACUCUAAAUAUGGGAAUCAUGAUACAUAUAGCUAUUUAAACUAAUUUUGUGUCUUUGCUAUUCUUUGUCCCAAAACUAUUUCAUUUGAAUGCUGCUAAACCCGCUUACUGCUGUUCAUAUGCUAUUAUCACUUAUAAUUUAUCCAUUCUUAUUGCUAAUGAAUAAUCUUUGCCACUGUGCAUACUGUACUCGUCAAAUGUUUGCCAGGUGCAUAAAGUUGUCUUGUUUGUUAAUUCCAUAAAAUAGUAUUGCUAAUGAAUAAUUUUUGCCAGUGUGCAUACUUUACUUAUCAAAUGCUUGUCAUGUGCAUAAAGUUGUCUUGUUUGAUAAUUCCAUAAAGUAGGACUUACUUUAGUGGUCCAUGUUUAUUUUCCUUUUACAUUUGUUGAAGUGAAUUUUUUUUCCUUCUUCAAUUAAAAGAUAAAAUAAAAUUGGUGACCUAUUUAAUAUUAAUUAUGUGAAUUACUACUUAGUUUCUUUGCUUGUGAUUUGAAUAUUAUGCUAAGUUUUUAAUUUUUUAAUUUUUAUUUUUUGAUCUUGUCCAACUGUAAUUCCUCUUCUUUUACUUUUGUUUGAUUUAUGGUAUGUUGGCGGAGUCCAAGUUGGACCCAAUUCCUAUUUCUUGCAUUCUCCGUCUUAUCGAGUCAACUACAUAAUUGGAACCACGUGGAGUUCGGGAAGAGAAUACAUGUCGUAAGGGAAGCUGAAACAGGUCUCGGAUUACAGAAAAAUGGGUUGUAUACAUCCGAUAUACACUGAUAUACAUCAGAUGUAUACAAAAAGGGGAAUUGAGCCAAGUGCCCAAAUCAACAACGAGUUUGGCCCAAAAAGGCCCCAAAUUCAUCUUCUCCUUUAUUCUCCUAGAUUAUUUAAUUGUGAUUACUUAUUGUUAGUUUUUUUUAUUAACUCUAACUUUAAAUAACUUAAUUGAACUCCCCAAAGGAUGAACUAUUUUCUUUGUGUUGGUUUACUUUAAUAAAUUUUAUUUUAUCAACUCUUGCACCCUUA
rnacentral:lncRNA from 1 species